CGUUCCACCAAAUGGAAUGAGUAUUCCGAUGGCCUGAGAAGAAGAGUUGGCUUUAUAAACAGAGAGAGGCCGAAGAAGGCAGAAACAAAGGCUGGAAAGCAGACUGGCCCUCUCCAAGCUACUUUCCUCGUAAGGCGGGCACAGGGCUCCAGAACAAUAGGCCCUGCACUGCCCGCCUCUCCCACGGCAGCCUGGCUUCCCUGUGGGGAGGCGCCCCGACCCCACUCGGCUGCGCGCCCAGGGCUGUUUUACACUGCGCUUGGCUCCUGGGAAGCUGCAUGGCGUCUCCCGAGCUGUUGAAGGAAGGAGUCACCCGCAGUCUCGGAACCCUCAGCACCAGCCACACAGGGUGUCUCUCAGGCUCUGGGCAUCCCCCGUCUGCUUCAUUGUGCUUGGAGGCCACACUCAUCAGGAAAGGCUAAAAAGGGCCAACUUGGGAAGGACCAUACACCAUGAUCCUGUCAACCCCCUCAGCUGUCAAGGUAGCAGGCCUGGACUCCUGGGCACACCAUACUUGACUCAAGCCCUGAGAACCAGAGACUGUUGCUGAAUGUGAGCAACCACCUGAAUACUCCUGUGAACCCACAGGAGACUUACAGUUCUUUUUCAAGAGGAAAACAAAGUCUUCAGAUAAGUAGUCUAAGAUGUUACCCUAGCCUUGUA
rnacentral:lncRNA from 1 species